AUUGAACGCUGGCGGCAUGCCUUACACAUGCAAGUCGAACGGUAACGCGGGGGCAACCCUGGCGACGAGUGGCGAACGGGUGAGUAGCGCAUCGGAACGUGCCCAGUAGUGGGGGAUAACGUUUCGAACGGAACGCUAAUACCGCAUACGCCCCAAGGGGGAAAGCGGGGGAUCUUCGGACCUCGUGCUAUAGGAGGAGCCUGCGUCGGAUUAGCUAGUUGGUGAGGUAAAGGCUCACCAAGGCGACGAGCCGUAGCUGGUCUGAGAGGAUGAUCAGCCACACCGGAACUGAGACACGGUCCGGACUCCUACGGGAGGCAGCAGUGGGGAAUAUUGCGCAAUGGGCGAAAGCCUGACGCAGCCAUACCGCGUGUGUGAAGAAGGCCUUCGGGUUGUAAAGCACUUUCAGUGGGGAGGAAAAGCUGGUGGCUAAUAUCCAUCGGCCGUGACGCUACCCACAGAAGAAGCACCGGCUAAUUCCGUGCCAGCCGCCGCAGUAAUAC
rnacentral:rRNA from 1 species